rnacentral:rRNA from 1 species
AUGAGCCUCCGCCGCCACGUGCAUCUGCUGUUGGAGAACCACAAAAAACGCGCCUAUUCGCUUCACCUCCUCAAGCGCGACCAUUUGUUCUACCCAACAGAAGAAGAAGCAGCAGCAAAGGCGCGAGCUCUGCCCAGGCUAAGAAAAGUGCCGCCGUUCUCACCUUUAGGGACCGUCCCAAGAAGGAAGAAGAACCAGGCGGCGCUCUCAGAUCGGUUGGAGAGUGUUAGGCUGUCGCCGGCAGUCUUCACCGUGCGGCCAUCGCCCUGCCCGACGGCUUGCAACGCCCACGCCCGGGUGGAAUUCUUCCCUCUCUCUGGAAGCAAGAUCUUCUUCACCGACAGCGGGGCACGCACCGCCUUUUUCGACACCGAGGCCCGCUGCAUGAUAACCGCGCCCAACCUCCAUUCGCCCAAGCACUGCCACCCCGUCGUCGUCUCUGUCCCCAGCCCCGGACCUGAAGGCGAGCAGGACGGCGGCGACCACAGCAGCCUCUACAUCAUAGACACGUUCCUCGAUUCAUGCAUGGCCACUCCGUUCGAGGCCCUAAUCUGCCGCAAGGACCCCGCACACGUCACCAGCCGCACACGUCGCACUCCCGCUGCACUCCCCCUGCCGCCCUUCCUUGAUGGCUCCGGCACCCACUGCUUCGACACGGUGAGCCGGACGUGGAGCCUGGCUGGUGACUGGCAGAUGCCCUUCUACGGCAAGGCCGAGUACGUCCCUGAGCUCAAGCUCUGGUUAGGCCUCUCUGCUGCUAACCCCGAGCUCCCGCGUGCGGCUGAUCUCUCCCCUGUCCCAAGAGGGCAUGGGCCGAAGCGGCGCUAUGUCUGGGGGGAUCCACACCUACCGAAGCAAUGGCUCCCGGCAUCCUAUGGUUCCAGCAGCAUUAUCAGUUUCGGUUCUGGUAGAUUUUGCAUCACCAACUUCUAUGAUGACAUGAACAACAUUGUGACGGAUGGACAAGGCGGUCCGGUCGGCGAGACCAUUGUUGUUUUCACUGGUCUGGAAGUGUUGUCUGGCAAAAAAAGUGGCAGUGAUAUGGGCAAGGGCAACGGGCUCCGUAUGAUUAAGCACAAGUCUUGUACAGUUGCUCAGACCGACUUCAUCCAGUCGAUACUCUGA